AGAAUUUGAUCCUAGUUCAGAAUGAACGCUAGCGGCGUGCCUAAUACAUGCAAGUCAAACGGGAUUUUUAAGUAGCUUGCUAUUUAAAAAUCUAGUGGCGAACGGCUGAGGAACACGUAGGUACCAACCCAUAUCUCUGAAAUAACUCCAAGAAAUUGGAAUUAAUGUCAGAUGUGAAGGAAACUUCAAAGAUUUAUCGGAUAUGGACGGGCCUGCGGCCUAUCAGUUAGUUGGUGGGGUAAUGGCCUACCAAGACUACGACGGGUACCGGGACUGAGAGGUUGAACCGGCAGAGGGGCACUGAGACACGGGCCUCACUCCUACGGGAGGCAGCAGUAAGGAAUAUUGCGCAAUGGACGAAAGUCUGACGCAGCAACGCCGCGUGAAGGAUGAAGGUUUUCGGAUUGUAAACUUCGUUAUAAGCACCGGCUAACUACGUGCCAGCAGCAGCGGUCAUACGUAGGGUGCAAGCGUUAUUCGGAUUUACUGGGCGUAAAGAGUUAUGUAGGUGGCUUUGUAAGUCAGGAGUUAAAUACCGCAGCUUAACUGCGGAAAAGCUUCUGAUACUGCAUUGCUAGAGUUAGUUAGGGGUCAGCAGAACAUAUGGUGUAGUAGUGAAAUGCGUUGAUAUCAUAUGGAAUACCAAGGGGGAAGCCAGCUGACUGGGACUAUAUUGACACUGAGAUACGAAAGCGUGGGGAGCGACACGGAUUAGAUACCCGUUUAGUCCACGCUGUAAACCAUGCCUGCUAGAUGCUUGAGAAAUUGAGUGUCGAAGCUAACGCGUUAAGCAGGCCGCCUGGGGAGUACGGCCGCAAGGCUAAAACUCAAAGGAAUUGGCGGGAACCCGCACAAGCGGUGGAGCGCGCUCUUUAAUUGGAUGCUAACCCAAAAACCUUACCCAGUCUUGACAUGCAGAUGCUAAGCCUAAGAAACUAGGCCUCCUUCGAGGGUUCUGCACAGGUAUUGCAUGGCUGUCGUCAGUUCGUGCCGUGAGGUGUUCACUUAAGUGUGUUAACGAACGCAACCCCUAUCGUUAGUUGUA
rnacentral:rRNA from 1 species